ACUCCUACGGGAGGCAGCAGUGGGGAAUAUUGCACAAUGGGCGCAAGCCUGAUGCAGCCAUGCCGCGUGUAUGAAGAAGGCCUUCGGGUUGUAAAGUACUUUCAGCAGUGAGGAAGGUGGUAUGUUAAUAGCAUAUUCAUUGAUCGUUAUGCUGCAGAAGAAGCACCGGCUAACUCCGUGCCAGCAGCCGCGGUAAUACGGAGGGUGCGAGCGUUAAUCGGAAUUACUGGGCGUAAAGCGCAUGCAGGUGGUUUGUUAAGUCAGAUGUGAAAGCCCGGGGCUCAACCUCGGAAUUGCAUUUGAAACUGGCAAACUAGAGUACUGUAGAGGGGGGUAGAAUUUCAGGUGUAGCGGUGAAAUGCGUAGAGAUCUGAAGGAAUACCGGUGGCGAAGGCGGCCCCCUGGACAGAUACUGACACUCAGAUGCGAAAGCGUGGGGAGCAAACAGGAUUAGAUACCCUGGUAGCUACGAGU
rnacentral:rRNA from 1 species